rnacentral:rRNA from 1 species
GACGAACGCUGGCGGCGUGCCUAAUACAUGCAAGUCGAGCGGACUUGACAGAGCUUGCUCUGUUCAAGUUAGCGGCGGACGGGUGAGUAACACGUGGGCAACCUGCCCUGCAGAUUGGGAUAACUCCGGGAAACCGGGGCUAAUACCGAAUAACAUGGAAAACCUCAUGGUUUUCUUUUAAAAGGCGGCUUCGGCCGUCACUGCAGGCUGGGCCCGCGGCGCAUUAGCUAGUUGGUGAGGUAACGGCUCACCAAGGCGACGAUGCGUAGCCGACCUGAGAGGGUGAUCGGCCACACUGGGACUGAGACACGGCCCAGACUCCUACGGGAGGCAGCAGUAGGGAAUCUUCCGCAAUGGACGAAAGUCUGACGGAGCAACGCCGCGUGAGUGAAGAAGGUUUUCGGAUCGUAAAACUCUGUUGUUAGGGAAGAACAAGUACCGGAGUAACUGCCGGUACCUUGACGGUACCUGACCAGAAAGCCACGGCUAACUACGUGCCAGCAGCCGCUGUAAGAC